ACACUGUUUGACUAAGGUGGAGUCCCAGCACCUGCUGUGCAAUAUAAGGAAGAGCCUGAGGGGUGGAAGUCAGCAGUUGCUGGCACUGCAUUUGCCUCACAGUUGCUCCAGAGAGACUGUGCUGUCCGCCGUCCCCUCUGCCACCCUCCAUCCUGCAGACUCUUGGUGCCGAACCUGCAGGAGCAGCUCAGUCCCGGCUCAGCCUCUUGCAAGGACACUGCUGAGCAGCACUCCAUCAUAUGUACUUGUGCAGGACACAGAAGGAAAGGACCUCAGAAGUCUUCUACGGAGAGUUAUGGCACAGAACCCAGAGCUUCUAGCAGAGACCUCCGUCAUCAAGUUCAAGGGUCAGGACUUUAACUCUUUGCGGGACCAUUGCCUAAACACGGGGAAGCCAUUUACGGAUGAGAUGUUCCCUGCUGAACCUUGUUCCAUAGGCCAGAAGCUGCUCACAGGAAAAAACCUUUCCAUCCUGAAGUGGAUGCGGCCACGGGAUUUAUCAGAUGGUCCACCUCACUUUAUCCUGGAAGGUACAAGUAGAUUUGACAUCCAACAAGGAAGAGCAGGGGACUGCUGGUUCCUGGCAGCGCUGGGCUCCUUGACCCAGAACCCUCAGUGUCUGCAGAAGAUCCUGAUGGACCAAAGUUUUUCACACCAGUAUGCCGGGAUUUUCCAUUUUCAGUUCUGGCAGUGUGGUCAGUGGGUGGACGUGGUGAUUGAUGACCGCUUGCCUGUUGUGGGCAAGGAAUGCCUCUUUGUGCAUCCUCGAAAAGACAACCAAGAGUUCUGGCCCUGCCUGCUGGAGAAAGCCUAUGCCAAACUUCAGGGAUCCUAUUCUCACCUGCACUACGGCUACCUCCCUGACGCCCUGGUGGACCUCACAGGAGGGGUGGUCACCACUGCCAACCUGCAUGCCUCUCCUUCCAGCCUGCUGAUGAUGGUGAAGACGGCAGCCGAGGCUGGCUCCCUGAUGGCCUGUGCCACCCCCCCGGGGCCAACAGACAGGUCCGAGGUGAUGCAGAACGGGCUGGUGAGCCAGCACGCCUAUACGGUGACGGGCGCUGAGCAGAUUCAGUCCGGGACAGGCUGGGACAAGAUCAUCCGCCUGUGGAACCCAUGGGGCAAGACAGAGUGGAGAGGGCGCUGGAAAGAUGGGUCCCGGGAAUGGCAAGAAACCCAAGACCCACGGAAAAAGCAAUUGUACCACAUCAAGGAAGAUGGCGAGUUUUGGAUGUCAUGUCAAGAUUUCCAAGAGAACUUCUCCUCCUUGUUCAUAUGUAACCAAGUCCCAAUUACUUUGGACCGUGGAAUCAGGCCCCAGGAAAGAUGGCACCGAAUGAUAUUUAGGAACCAAGUGAUUCUCAGGAACAGUGCAAGAGAACCCAGGAGGAAUCCUUAUUACCUCUUCAGUGUGCAAGAGUCCCAAGGAGGCAACAAUGUUGUUGUGUCCUUCACUGUCAUGCCACAACUCCUGAAGGCAGAAGAGAAGGGAUUUCCCUUGAGUUUCCAGGUGUUUAAGGUUGAUUCUCAGUUUCAGCAAUUCCAGGAGAGAUUGCCGCCCACGUUCUUUUCUCCAUUUAGAAAUGCUGCCCAGGGCAUAGAUUAUGAAACCAAGUGCAACUUCAUGAAAUCUUUCCAUCUCAACCCUGGGACCUAUGUUGUGGUCCCCUCAGCACAUAGAAAAGAAGCUAAGUUCUUGCUCCGAAUCUUCCUGAAAAUGCCAGACAGUGACAGGAACCCGGGCAGCAGUUUCAAGCUCAGAGCACUGGAGGAAACUCUUUCAGAAAAUGGCUCUGAACAAAGCAUUUUCUACAGAUAUGCGCCAAAGGGGCUGGACAUUGAUGCUACUCAACUUCAGAGCCUUCUCAACCAGGAGCUCCUGACAGGACCUCCAGGGGACACUUUCUCCUUGGACGAGUGCCGCAGUAUUGUGGCUCUGAUGGAUCUAGAGGUGAAUGGGCGGCUUGACCAGGAGGAGUUUGCCAGACUGUGGAGGCGUCUUGUCCACUUCCAGCAUGUUUUCCAGAACAUCCAGCAAAGCUCUGGAGUCCUCUUGAGCUCAGACUUGAGCAAGGCCAUAGAGAGCACAGGCAUCUCCAUCAGCAGUGAGCUGCUGGGUCUCAUGACCCUUCGCUACAGUGACAGCGCUGGUCAGGUCAGCUUCCCCAGCCUGGUCUGCUUCCUGAUGCGGCUGGAAGCCAUGACAAAGACAUUCCAUAAUCUCUCCAAGGACGGAAAAGGACUCUACCUGACGGAAAUGGAGUGGAUGAACUUUGUCAUGUACAACUGAGGCAGGAGCACAGCAAACCCCAAGGACAAGUCAGACCCACGCUCCCUCCCAGGGGCCAGCAGAGAACCCAGAGCUCUGAGGAGUGGGGAAGGAGUGAGCAAGAGCUUCAGUGAAAAUCCCAGACCUGCCAUGUACUUGCUUCUGACCUUUGGAAGCUGCUUCAUAUCUCCGAACUGUGUUGUGUUGGAUCUCUUUGAUGAAGGGACCGACUCUACCUGAGAAGCUGUGAACCUUGUAUCCAGGGCCUUGCCUCCAGGGACCCCCACAGCAUGUGCCCUCCUCUCUUCCCAGUGAGCAUCCUUGCCCUCGGGACAUCCUGGAUGAGCUGGUCAUCACACCAGGUCUCAGCUUGGAAUCACUGCUGGGAUUAUAGGCAUGUGGUACCACGCCUGGCUGCAACCUGCUCAUUCUGAUCCAGCCCCACUCCCCCCACUCCCAGCCGGGGCUGCAGCCCCAGCACAUGUGUCCCAGGCCUCUUUGCUGCCCCCAGCCAACUUGCCUCUCACUGAGUACUCAGUGGAUUUGGAAUUAAAAACUAAAUGAU